GGGGGGGGGGGGGGGGGGGGGGGGUGGGUGGGGGGGGGGCGGGGGGGGGGGGGGCUGGGUGCUGGGCCGUUAGGGGCGGCGGGGUGAGUAACACGUGGGUAACCUGCCUAUCAGCCUGGGAUCGCUUCGGGAAGCGGGAGCUACUACCGGAUAAUCUAUUGAAACGCAUGGUUCACUAGUGGCAGACGGUUUUGCUUUCCCUUAUAGAUGUAUCCGCGCGGCAUUAGCUAGUUGGUAAGGUAACGGAUUACCACGUCAACGAUGCGUAGCCGACCUGAGAGGGUGAUCGGCCACACCGGAACUGAGACACGGUCCAGACGCCUACGGGAGGCCGCAGUAGGGAAUCUUCCGCAAUGGGCGAAAGCCUGACGGAGCAACGCCGCGUGAGUGAUGAAGGUCUUCGGAUCGGAAAACUCUGUUAUUAGGGAAGAACAAAUGUGUAAGUAACUAUGCACGUCUUGACGGUACCUAAUCAGAAAGCCACGGCUAACUACGUG
rnacentral:rRNA from 1 species